GUCUUUUCAAAUCUCUCGUGAUCAGUGGAUACAUCGCUCAGUGUUCUGUGAAUACUAAUUCCCUAUCAGCUCCACCGGAGAAGUUGUUUAUUUAUUGACAACAGACUCUGAAACAUCGCAUUAAAUCCAGAGAGACAGAGCUUGUGAGAUACACCUCUUUACAGGGUGAAUAAUGAGGACCGGCAGCUGGGUAGUAUGGGUCAUAUGUUGUGUGUGUCUAACCACCGUCUCCGCCUGUCCAUUAGGCGCAAGCAUCAAACAGCCUAGUCCUACAAACCAAGAAGAGCGCAUUGUGUUGUCAGCAAUAAAACUAUUGAGACUUAUAAAUGAUCAACACUAUCUACGACGGCAUCAGACACGGAAAAGAAACAUGGGGACGGUGGAUUCGUUAUAUAACCUACCUGAUCUUCUGUAUAGAGGGAGGAAGUAAUAGAGAUCAUUCUGACAGAUGUUCGGAACGUCUUUGAAAAGGUUCCAAGAAUACCAACAAAUGACUAACAGACAGUGCAGCAAUUAUUCCAAUAUCUUUUUGUAAAUGAUUGCAACUCAGACAACCUCUUAGGCUUUUUUAAAAUACAUUUAUUGUAACUGUAUCCCUUUUUUCUUAACUACUAAAUUCUCUAAUAUUUUUAAUGAUGAAUCCAUGCAUUUACCUGUACAGAUAAACUUUUAGACUGUUCGGGAUUCCUAACCAAUGUCGACGUCUUUAUAAAGAUUCCUAUCUUAUUUUUAUCUGGUUUAUCGUCGCUUCAAAGAAAUAUUUACUCACAUAAGUGUACAUGAAACACCGGAUUCCAGUCAGCACGACGUUCAACGUAGAAUAUGCACCGCCAUUAUACUUGACUUGAUAUCUUGCGGAUCUGUUAAAGCCGGGUUGUUUUCCAGGUUUCAUGUGUCCACAAUAUUGCAGUGUAUAUUUGACUUUUUUUUAUCUCUUUAUUUUAGUGAGAUUAUUAGAUUAUACCGAUGGAUUAGAUAGUCUAUGUAUUCACCUUUACAUAAAGUUCUUGUAAAUGAGCAAUGGAAUAAAAUAUUAUUUCUUAUUUUUAUCAAGGAAUUGAAUGAAACAAAUAUUCAUGUGAAAUAUGAAUUUAUUACAUAGAUCACAAUUUCUCAGCUUAAUCUUAUUCAAUUGUUUUAUUUAUUAUGAUCUAUGAUUUCAUCAGUUGCACAUUUCUUAUGCACUGUACCAAUCGCAAUAAAUAUGUAUACAAUAUACAAG